UAGCUGCAUGCGCUGCAGCUUGGAGCGAAAAACCAAUAUCUCCAGUGUACUUCCUCUUCCCAUGGCCUGCACACAAGUGCCCUGCGGGAAGUAAGAACUUCGACAAGUGCGCAGUGAACGACGCCCAACGCUGCCCCAAUGGCGUUGGCUACUGUUGUCACGGCGUGUGCCUGUGUCUACAGUCGCAAAUCAUCUUUUGUCCUCGGCUCCAGCAACCCCAUUACCUCUACGGGGCUCACUGAAACGCCGAAACCUGCGCAUCUUCAGAUAACAUCAUGUGCGUUGGCAA
rnacentral:lncRNA from 1 species